rnacentral:lncRNA from 1 species
UCAUUCUUAGACCAACCAUCAAGAAUUUAUCUAACUGCUAAAUAAUUUACAAUAUCUGCAAAUCAAGGGGCCUUUGUGUGUGAAACUACUAGAAGUUGCUCAUCUGAAAAAGAUUCUCCAAUUGAUGUAGGUUCACAAUCUUCAACUAGGAUCCUCGAUAGCUGGUCUGCUACAAUAUUUUAAGAUCCCUUCUUGUCUCAAAUUUUAAUAUCAAAUUCUUAUAGCAGUA